UACGUAGGGUGCAAGCGUUGUCCGGAAUUAUUGGGCGUAAAGAGCUCGUAGGCGGUUUGUUGCGUCGGCUGUGAAAUCCCGAGGCUCAACCUCGGGUCUGCAGUCGAUACGAGCAAACUAGAGUGUUGCAGGGGAGACUGGAAUUCCUGGUGUAGCGGUGAAAUGCGCAGAUAUCAGGAGGAACACCGGUGGCGAAGGCGGCUCACUGGACCGGAACUGACGCUGAGGCGCGAAAGCGUGGGGAGCAAACGGG
rnacentral:rRNA from 1 species